UACAGAGGUCCCGAGCGUUUGUUCGGAUUUAUUGGGCGUAAAGGGUGCGUAGGCGGCGGAGUAAGUUGGGUGUGAAAUCCCGAGGCUCAACCUCGGAAUUGCAUUCAAUACUGCUUCGCUCGAGUACUGGAGAGGAGGCUGGAAUUACGGUGUAGCAGUGAAAUGCGUAGAUAUCGUGAAGGAAGCCGGUGGCGAAAGCGAGCCUCUGGACAGUUACUGACGCUGAUGCACGAAGGCCAGGGAGCAAACCGGG
rnacentral:rRNA from 1 species